CACUAAGUUUUUCCCCUGUCCCCCUCCCCACCCUACGUAAGGGGAGGAGGACAGAUCUGACUUUCCUUUCUUAUGUACGUAGUAUAGUAUAGAAAUAUAGAUGGAAGUUAUCCUCGCUGCAAGCAGCAGCAAAGAGGUGACCUCCUCUCUAACCACUGUAAGGGGAGGAGGACACACCUGACUUUUUUUUUCUCCAUAGUAAAUGAGGAUAGAAGUUAUCCUCGCUGCGAGCAGCAGCAAAGAGGUGACCUCCUCUCCAGCCACCAUAUGGGGAGGAGGACACACCUGACUUUUAUUUUUUCCAUAUUAAAUGAGGAUAGAAGUUAUCCUCGCUGCAAGCAGCAGCAAAGAGGUGUCCUCCUCCCCGACCACCAUAAGGGGAGCAGGACAGAUCUCGCUUUUCUUUUUUUUUUUCUCCACAGAAAAUGAGGAUAGAAAUUAUCCUCACUGCAAAGCAGCAACAACAAAGGGUGCGGAGGCCCCAACAGAGAUUACUCCGCUCCAUGGAGCCCUCCCUCAACCUUCACCAAGGUUGAGGCUGGAGACAAUCCAACCCCUCCAUCACGGAGGAGUUGGAACAACGGCGGCGGCCUCAACUACUCUGCUCCACCUACCCUUACCCUACCUUACCUUACCCCAGACCCCACUAAGUUUUUCCCCUGUCCCCCUCCCCACCCUACGUAAGGGGAGGAGGACAGAUCUGACUUUCCUUUCUUAUGUACGUAGUAUAGUAUAGAAAUAUAGAUGGAAGUUAUCCUCGCUGCAAGCAGCAGCAAAGAGGUGACCUCCUCUCUAACCACUGUAAGGGGAGGAGGACACACCUGACUUUUUUUUUUUAUUUCCUCCAUAAAUGAGGAUAGAAGUUAUCCUCGCUGCGAGCAGCAGCAAAGAGGUGACCUCCUCUC
rnacentral:lncRNA from 1 species